UUGAAAUAAACUUGGUGUUGGUUGUAGCUGGCUUUUCGAAGCAAAAAAUUGUGCUCACCUUCAUCAUCUUUAUAUUUCCACCUGUGCACUUUUUGUAGACAAAGAAAGAAACAAAAAAAUUUAAUUUUUUUGUAGUAAACCUUUGUCUAUUUUAUUAUACACUCCAAAAAAGUUAUAGAAUGUUAAAUUUUUAUUGGCCUUUGCGCCUAUAAUAAUAAAAAAGUUAUA
rnacentral:misc_RNA from 1 species